AGAUGUGACCCGGAAGAGCCGGCCUUUCCCGGCCUCUCUUCCCUGGUGUGGCUCAACUCUAUGGUUCUUGGGAUCCGCCGAAGUGUCUGGCGGCGCUGGAAGGAGGCGGUGGGGUGCUCUCCCUCUGUGCGGAGAGAAGCUGGCGACUCCCGCGGCGGGAGCCUUGCUGCGUUCGCAGAACGCGUUCCGAUCCACAGACAAGGGUGUUCGAGAAGUGUCAGGAGAGCCGCGGAGCUGGCGGCCAGUGCACCUAGCGUUGGACCCGAAAUAGACUGUUAUGGGAGGUCUGCCGGAACCCAGCGUCCUUUGAGGCUAGAUUUAGUCGAGAAGGUGUAAUAUCCAAACCAUGCCAAAGCUAACCUCAGGACUGGGUGCCGUGACUAACGACCCCCUGCGUGGUGCCUGCCAAUCAGUGGAGACCGUGACCUUGAAAGGGCACCUCUGGAAAGCUAUGAGAAGUCUAUUGUACCCUCCCAAACCUCUCCUAAAAUCCCUGCUUAAUAAAACAGAUAAAAAUUCUUAGGACAACGGACCCAGUUGUGUGUGUCUCUGUCAAAAAUCAACGAACAUAUCCUUGCGUGAGGAUUUUUUUAAAAAUUGAGGGAAUGAAAGGAAGACUAUAUGAUCGUGGAAGAAAGCGAAGUAGAGAUUGGAUUACAGGAUGGCUGGCAGCAUCAUUCUCCUGAAGGUAGUUAGAAUUUACUUCAAAGGUGUGUUAACGUGGAUGCACAGAAACAAUGGACAGGACUUGCUGGGGGCUAAGAUAAUCCUUUAAUGAAGAAGUGUUAUGCGUGGGGGCCUGACGACACAUCAUUUCCUGCCCAGUUAGGAAUUUAUAAUCAGAUCACUUCCUGAGGUUAGUUUCCAGACAACCCUUUUUUUUAUCCACAGUACUUUUCUGUGUUUUUUAAUGUCUCAAAAUUAUAACAAAUGACAAAGAUCAGCACACUGUUUUCCAA